rnacentral:rRNA from 1 species
UGGGGAAUAUUGGACAAUGGGCGCAAGCCUGAUCCAGCCAUGCCGCGUGAGUGAUGAAGGCCCUAGGGUUGUAAAGCUCUUUCACCGGUGAAGAUAAUGACGGUAACCGGAGAAGAAGCCCCGGCUAACUUCGUGCCAGCAGCCGCGGUAAUACGAAGGGGGCUAGCGUUGUUCGGAUUUACUGGGCGUAAAGCGCACGUAGGCGGACUAUUAAGUCAGGGGUGAAAUCCCGGGGCUCAACCCCGGAACUGCCUUUGAUACUGGUAGUCUUGAGUUAGAGAGAGGUGAGUGGAAUACCGAGUGUAGAGGUGAAAUACGUAGAUAUUCGGAGGAACACCAGUGGAGAAGGCGGCUCACUGGCUCGAUACUGACGCUGAGGUGCGAAAGCGUGGGGAGCAAACAGG